GCGGAUGUGGUGGAAUUGGUAGACACGUAUGCCUUAGGAGCAUAUGCCUCACGGCGUGAAGGUUCAAGUCCUUUCAUCCGCACCA
rnacentral:tRNA from 8 species